rnacentral:rRNA from 1 species
CCUACGAGAGGCUGCAGUGAGGAAUAUUGGUCCAUGGACGAGAGUCUGAACCAGCCAAGUAGCGUGAAGGAUGACUGCCCUAUGGGUUGUAAACUUCUUUUAUAUGGGAAUAAAAUGUUCCACGUGUGGGAUUUUGUAUGUACCAUAUGAAUAAGGAUCGGCUAACUCCGUGCCAGCAGCCGCGGUAAUACGGAGGCUCCGAGCGUUAUCCGGAUUUAUUGGGGUUAAAGGGGGCGUAGGUGGAUUGUUAAGUCAGUUGUGAAAGUUUGCGGCUCAACCGUAAAAUUGCAGUUGAAACUGGAAGUCUUGAGUACAGUAGAGGUGGGCGGAAUUCGUGGUGUAGCGGUGAAAUGCUUAGAUAUCACGAAGAACUCCGAUUGCGAAGGCAGUUCACUGGACUGCAACUGACACUGAGGCUCGAAAGUGUGGGUAUCAAACAGGAUUAGAUACCCGUGUAGUC